rnacentral:sRNA from 1 species
CCCCCCCCCAAAAAAAAUCCCUCUGUAUCUGCGCAUGGCUCGCGUAAAAUGGCGGAUUCAUGGGAUUGGCAAAUUAAAUAAACCAGCGUUAAAACAAAAAUGGAGGAUUAAAUUGUUGUCAUAAAUGUGUAUGUAUAACCAUGGUAACAAUCGAAACAAAUCGAAAUUAUAUAUGUAUUAAAAGUACCACGAAAUACAAAUUUUUCAAGUACAUGUAUUUUCUCCACAAACUUAAAAAUCAUUUCGAUAGCCUCGUCAUGUAUUCUGGAGCAUGUCUACCCCGCAUAUGAGGACAGUGUAGGCUAUGCCUGUCCACUUCUCAAAAGAUAAUAUGGCUUAGUUUAGAUGAAUUAAACGUUAAUUAUAACGUUAUGAAUAAACAUUUGUUUCACUAUGGCAUAUAAUCAAUGAAUAUGCUAAUUUAUUAUCGAAUAUUUACAUUUUUCAUGUCAUUUCAUCAUCUAACUAUAUUUGG